rnacentral:piRNA from 1 species
UUCACUUAAGCAAACUUGUCCACAGAC